rnacentral:lncRNA from 1 species
CCGGAGGCCGCACCAGGCAGGAGGGAGGACUCCAGAGAGUGCGCGGGGGGCGCUGCGCGGUGGGACGGGGCGAGCCUGUAGGGCGCGCCUGGCGGCGGCUCUGGGCCAAUCAGAGAAAGCCAAAUGUGCUCCUCACACCAAUCGCGUAAGAAGCCCUGCUUCUAGUAUAGCCCUCCUCCAACUUCCCGAUGCCAACAUCCUCCAAUCAGAGCCAACCUGAAGUUUCU